rnacentral:rRNA from 1 species
UACGUAGGGUGCAAGCGUUGUCCGGAAUUACUGGGCGUAAAGCGCGCGUAGGCGGCUUUGCAAGUCGGGUGUGAAAUCCCCAGGCUUAACCUGGGAACUGCAUUCGAGACUGCAUUGCUAGAGUAUGGGAGAGGGAAGUGGAAUUUCCGGUGUAGCGGUGAAAUGCGUAGAUAUCUGAAGGAACAUCAGUGGCGAAAGCGACUUCCUGGACCAAUACUGACGCUCAUGUGCGAAAGCGUGGGGAGCAAACAGG